rnacentral:lncRNA from 1 species
CCACUGUGUGACUCUUCUCCCCAUUGUUGGAUGCACACUGCUUCGUUUUGAAACACGUUUAUAGAAGAGGAAAUGAUAUUAGAGCACUAAAAUACCUGCAUCCCAUAGAAAGAUCGUGACCAGCCCCUCAACGAUGUCUUAUUCUGCAGGAUGAGUAAUGUCUCAAAGAUGCAUCAUGAGUAUUUAUCACUAUCACACAAUCAACAGGAAGACGGAGAAGACCUGAGAUAGGGUUCCAAAAAGCCAUGAACGCCUGCACAUGACAGUGACACAUAUAUGCAGUCAAUACUGCAAUAUGUGGACUAUUUAUUUGUGAACAGGCUGAGGCAAGUUUUCUUUGACGAAUCACACGACACAUAAGAAUAAUGAGAGACAUCGUAAUACUUAAGGAAUGUGGUAAUUGCGGCAUCAAAAACUGACGUAAUUUGAUAAGUCAAGAACAUCAUCUUGUAGAUGUGAUCACUGCCACUUUCGUUAUCAAAAGUUUUCUGGGAUUGGAGUCACCAACUUGGCCACAUAUAUACGCACACCCAAUUUCUCAUCUACAGACACGAUUUGGAGCAAUCUGUCCUAAACUGCGCCACUGUGUGACUCUUCUCCCCAUUGUUGGAUGCACACUGCUUCGUUUUGAAACACGUUUAUAGAAGAGGAAAUGAUAUUAGAGCACUAAAAUACCUGCAUCCCAUAGAAAGAUCGUGACCAGCCCCUCAACGAUGUCUUAUUCUGCAGGAUGAGUAAUGUCUCAAAGAUGCAUCAUGAGUAUUUAUCACUAUCACACAAUCAACAGGAAGACGGAGAAGACCUGAGAUAGGGUUCCAAAAAGCCAUGAACGCCUGCACAUGACAGUGACACAUAUAUGCAGUCAAUACUGCAAUAUGUGGACUAUUUAUUUGUGAACAGGCUGAGGCAAGUUUUCUUUGACGAAUCACACGACACAUAAGAAUAAUGAGAGACAUCGUAAUACUUAAGGAAUGUGGUAAUUGCGGCAUCAAAAACUGACGUAAUUUGAUAAGUCAAGAACAUCAUCUUGUAGAUGUGAUCACUGCCACUUUCGUUAUCAAAAGCAGUUGUGUAUCUAUACAACAUCGUAUCUGAUUAUCAGCGGGAUUUUGGUUCCAAAUAUUCGGAAUAUCCUUCCAAAAUGACUGUUCAAAACAACGCUGGUGGACCGGGUGCCAAAUCAGUGUUAACAAGUGGCAAAGCAUAGAAUUCUUUUUCGUGUGGUUUGUAAAAUAAAUAUAAUGAGCU